CGGGUUUGGCAGCCAUGAUGGUGAGCAGAAUCUAGAAACACUUAUAGACGGCCCAAAGACCAGAUUUGUCAUUUUUCAAGUUCGUAGAGUGGCGCUCAAGACAGCAUUGUUUUCCUGAAGUACCUUAAUUUGGUUGCGCUGCUCAAUAUUUUCCUCCCUCAGCCCAGCCGCAUGUGUGGACAUGUCCUGCCUCCUGGGUGAUUCCAUGUUGGUAAACCACUCAUCUGAUGCUGGUGGUUUUCCCAGGGCCUUUCCGGGGUACUUCAACCCAAACUCUCCCAAAUCAGCAUUUCUUUUCUCCUAAUAACACAUCUCCAUAAUGACAAUAAUGGCAACAUUUUGGACCCUAACUUAAUGUGGACACGUCUAAAGCUGAGUGAUGAUUGGACGCUCAGGCAGGAAGUGACAUUUGUGCACAAGAGAAAAGAUAAGGAAGUUUAUGCCUUGAAAUGGCUGCAUCCAUAUAUGGUCAAUAUGCAUAUGACUCAGAUUUAAUUAGAAGACAAGAUUUUAUUCUGUCAUCGAGCAACAAAGAUGACGGAAGCGCAAGAGGCGUGGUCUCAGAGGUUAUUGUCACACCACUCUUUUAAACCCUGGGAGCAGGACUCCGCCUGCCGGGCGUUCGCGCUACUGACAUCCUUCACCCAGCCAGCGAACGUGGCAGUGUCCCUCCUCAUCUGAAGAAACUGACCCAGCAGCCCAGAUGCCUUAAUGCAACACACACGUCAGUAAAACACACAGAGUUUAGUGUGGGACGUUCAGGUAUCAUGGGAGAAGCGGACCUCAUGGAAGCCUUGCCUGCUCAGUCUGACGCCCAAAACUGGACCGAUACCAGGGACGGCGGUGACGGGCUGGCCGUGCAUCGAGGACUUGACGAAGUCUUUGUGCUUCUGCGUUGUGGACGGCAUUCCUUGUGUUCCCGCCUCUUUACAAACCAUUCGCUAGUAAAAAAAAAUAAAAAAUAAAAAAGUUUAAAGUUUGACGCUUAAUUUACGAAGUUUAGCUCACUGAACUGUACACGAAGUCGUGAUGGAUGGAGUGUAGGCAAGAUAAACUUUAGAAACCAUUCGCCAGUUAAAAAGAAAAAAGGUUGAACAGCUUGACGUUUAAUUUACGAAAUUUAGCUCACUGAACUGUACACGAAGUCAUGAUGGAUUGAGUGUAGACAAGAUAAAUGCGUUUUAAAGCGUCCUAACUUUUUUCACUCACCUGAAAGCGGAGCGAAGAGCAGAGCCCAACCCAAUUUUCAAACCGAAAGUGAUUUACGCUGAAGCCCGGAUGUACAGUCAAUGGCACAUGGGGCGUUCACGUGACAACACGAGAGCAAAGAUAUAAUUGCUACAAUAUUCAGUAAAACUCAUAUAAAUAUAUAGUUAUGGUGAAGUUAUUCUGGUAGUCUGUGUAAGCAAUUUGUUUCUAUCGUAUUAGCAUGUUAAUUUCUGUGUGUCAAUUUCAUUGAACAUGAUGCAGUGACUGCAAAAUGACACAAGGUGGCAGUGCCGUACCGUGUCCAAAUUGUGUAAGGCUGCUAAAAAAAAAAAAAGCUGAGACUUACGACAGGAUGUGAAAGUUAAAACAAGAAAUGUUUAAUUUAUAUUCAAGUUGUAACAGUCUAACACAGGCAAACAUUAACGGAAGAAAAUAAUAAAGCAAGUUAAAAGAUGCUAAAAAAAGGGAUUCUUGACUCGGUGGGCGUCGCAGGAGUGCCAACGCAAGCAACAUUGUGCGCGUGCGGUCACUGUGCGUUGGGAUGAGCUCUGCCGAGGAAAUCGCUGAAACACACACACAAAAGACAUGAAAAGUCAAACAAGAAGUGAGUGAGGUACGGCCCAGGUGGGGGGUUCUACCUGAGGAUGCGAGGCAGCUGGGGGCUCCUGUAGAUGAACUUGUGCUUAUAGGCCAGCGACGAGGAGAACGGAACAAACUGGACCUUGUGACCGCUCAGGCUCUUGGAGCUGGCCGCCAUAUUAUAAAGCUGCGCAACAACCACCUAACAUGUGACCUGCUCUCAUCCAUUCGGCUGUCAGUGACACCCCACCAGACCCUCCUACCUUCUUGCCCAGGUGGAACGGAACCACGGCGUCGUCCUCAGCGUGCAGGAUCAACACGGGACAAGAGAUGUGAUUGACACUGCACACAAACAUACACAGCGGCACUUCCUCUCGCGUCCACUCCCACUGAGCCUACGACAUCCUAGAAGGUCAAAGGUAACUUACUUGUCAUCGCUGGCGAAGCGGAUGUUGUUGGCGCUGAUGGUGUCCAGAAAGAACCAAUCAAAGCCAGGCAGGUGUCUGUACACCUAAAAGAACAACACUGAUGGUUAGGGAUGCACGAUAUUUAUCGGACCGAUAUCAGGGAAUUGUGACGUCAUACCGAUAAAUCUGAUAACAUUAAAAAAAAAGCUCAGAUAACCCAUAUGUAGGAGCCAAAUAUUUGUCUGUAUGUCCUGUGGGUGUGGCUUACUCACGUACAUAAAGCAAAGGGGUAACCGAUAGUCGUGUGCUGACCUGGAAGUGCUUACAAGUUUUGACCGAUGUAAGCAGAACGGUGUGGGAAAAUGUUGUGCUAACCGAGAAACUUGUGUAAUGUUAUGGGACAUUGUGCAUAUGCAUCGUGGUGGUGAAAAAUAAAAGGGUGAUGUUGCAUUGAAAAUAACCCUUGGAUUGAUUUUCUGUAAAUUAGCAGCUACGGCAGCACACCAUACGAUCGGGCUACUAUACCACAAUUAAAAA